rnacentral:rRNA from 1 species
UUUAAGUCCCCUGCCCUUUGUACACACCGCCCGUCGCUACUACCGAUUGAAUGGUUUGGUGAGGCUUCCGGAUUGGUCCAGGCACGAGGGCAACCUUGAGCUGGGACCGAAAAGCUAGUCAAACCUAAUCAUUUAGAGGAAGUAAAAGUCGUAACAAGGUUUCCGUAGGUGAACCUGCGGAAGGAUCAUUA